ensembl:miRNA mir15a-1 microRNA 15a
CCUUGCUGUGUUGUAGCAGCACAUAAUGGUUUGUUGGUUGUACGGAGAUGCAAGCCAUACUGUGCUGCUGCAAAAACACAAGG